AGAGACAGAGACAGAGACAGAGACAGAGACAGAGACAGGGACAAAGACAGAGACUCAGACAGAGAGACAGACAGAGAGAGAGACAGAGAGAUAAGCCUGGCACCCGACCAUGUGUAUCUAGGUGUGAGGUGCAGAAUGCACGUAGAUGGGAGGGGUUCAGAAUGUGACGGCGGGGCACCCAGCAGUGCUCCUCAGACUCAUAUCCUUCCCAGUCCACCAGGUACUGCCAGCUACGACCCCGACGGCGCACGUUCAGAAGCCACCGGACGGUAUAGGCAGGAUGGUCAUCGAUGAGCUGAGGGGGUGGAGGAGCUGCUGCAGGAGGAGACAGGUUUCAUCAGGGAUACAUGGAAGGCAGGGUGGAUCUUGAGAGAGGCUUGGAGUUUCAGGUGCACAGCAGAGGGGUUAACGUCACGAUCAAUCUAAAAGGGACCAAUGAAUCGAGGAGAAGGAUUCUUGGAAGCCUCCUUCAAGGGCAAGUCCCUUGACGAGAGCCAUACCUUUUGGCCUGGAGUGUAGACUGGAGCUGAGGCACGGCAACAGUUGGCUUGGGACUGGGUCCUGGCAGAGGCACGGAGAAGGGCCCUCCUCAAGGUGCGAUGACAACGGCGCAUGUGGUCAUGGACUGAGGGAACCGCCACCUCGACCUCUUGGGCGGGGGCCUGGUGCUUUGAUUGACAGACAGCUGAAAUGGGUGCUCUCCUGUGACAUUUCCUACAUUCCACAUACUAUUCUGGGCAAUCUUUCCAGCUGUGGAAAGGGGAUUACCUACGUUUGCGACUAACACUUGAACUGGCUGCUGGUCCUAUCUGCUUUCUCCAUGUCUGUCUCUGUUCUGCGUUCUCCUCCUUUUCUUCAGUGUAACAGUUGUUACUGUGUGAAUUGCACCAGUUCAUUUUCUUCGUCAAGCUUACCAGUGUUUGUUCCUGGUCAGCGCCUGUCUUCUCCUCGCCCUCCUGGUUCGUGACCCUUGCCUGUCCUGUACCUGCCCGCUUGAACUCUUUCUGAGCCUGCCUGCCGUCCUAUACCUUUGCCCCAACUCCGGAUUAUCGACCCCUGCUCGCCUUGACCUGUCGUUGCCUGUCCUGGUGGUUACAGUAAACAUUGUUACUUCACAGAGUCUGCAUUUGGGUCUUACCUUGAUUCUUGAUAGCUUGUAAUGUCAGGGUCGUGGGUUCGAUUCCCGGAACCACCCAUAAGUAUGCUUGUAUGACUGUAAAUUGCUUUUGCUGAAAAUGUCUAAUAAAUGGAAUAUAAAUCCA